rnacentral:lncRNA from 1 species
GGACAGAGGUUCAGGGCCGAAGGGGUAGAGGAAGACCUAGGAAAACUUUGGAAGAGACUCUAAGAAAAGACUUAGAGUACUUGGAUCUAACGAAGGACAUGACACAGGAUCGAGCACAAUGGCGUUCUAAGAUUCAUAUAGCCGAUCCCACUCAGUGACUUGGAUUUUCCAAGUCUCCAACCGAGAAGUUUUCCUCACUCGGGAAAUUAAGGGAACACUACCCCAACCUACAUGCUCCACUCAGAAAGCUUCAACAUACAAGCUUCAACAAAAGAAAAUUCAAAGAACUUAGCGAAGAAGGCUUUGGUGUAUUUAACACAAUACGUUGAAAUGAAGGAAAGCUUAUUUAUUGAUAUCCCCGAUAAGCUACAAAUAUGUACAUAUACAUGAGUCAAAAUAAACACACAAGAGGGAGCCUUCACAAAGGUUGCUUAGGAGAAGUCUCAGCAGUCGGUAGAGCCCCAGAAAGAGAAGGCACCGGAGGGGGAUCAUUUGGAGCCUCAGUACUGGACAGAACCCUAGAAGGAGGAGGCAUCAGAGGUUGAUCAUUUGGAGCUUCAUUACGCGGUACAGCCCCAGAAGACGAAGGCAAUAAAUGCCUUUGGAACAAACCCACAAAUCUCUGAUGAUCAAGUAAAACCUGACCAUCAGUUUCCUUCAUCUGGUCAAGCUUCCUCUUCAUGUUUGUAGCAUAGUCAUGUGCGAGCCGGUGCAACUGUUUAUUCUCAUGCUUGAGCCCUCUAAUCUCCUGUUUGAGACUCAUCACUUCAGCCGCCAAUGAUUCAACUUGGCGGGUUCGAGCAAAUAGGCGUUGGGCCAUAUUAGACACAGAACCUGCACACUGAACACUGAGAGCCAGCGAAUCCUUAACAGCUAACUCAUCAGACCGUUUGGAAAGUAGUCUGUUAUCUUUGGGAGUGAGAAGGUUCCUGGCCACCACCGCAGCGGUCAUAUCAUUCUUCAUCACGGAAUCCCCAACGGUAAGAGGACCAGUAGGGGAGACGAAGGAUGGGCGCCAUAUGUUGUCUGGAGAAGGCGGGGCUGCCUCUUCAACAAGGUUCAAGUCAAAACGACGGUCGGAGGGGCCAGACAUUUUCAAAGGUGUUGAAGAGAGAAGAGGUCGGACAAAUCAAGAUCUUAGAAGUGCAAGAAUGAAGCUUCUACUGGUGGAGAUUCAAGUGUGCUUUGGAACUUAAUGCCAGCCCCUAUAAAAAUCUGCACUCGACGGAGCUUCAGAAAUCGAAGAGGGCGCCUGCUCAGAAAUCGAAGAGGCGUUUGCUUUCUCAAAAGCUGGGCUGCUUAGAGAUCACGAGGGUUGAUCUCAGAAAUCGAAGAGCGUUUGCUUUCUCAAAAGUUGGGCUGCUCAAAGACCACGAAGGCCGAUCUCAGAAAUCGAAGAGGCGCUCGCUUUCUCAAAAGCUGGGCUCCCCAGAGACCACGAGGGCCGAUCUCAGAAAUCGAAGAGGCACCUACUUUUCCAGCCUUGUCAGCACCUGUCACACACGCACACUCAGCUUUGCGGAAAUUAUGGGCAUUCUGUCAAAGACUUCUGGGGAAGUAGAAAACACAUGAAUCUUACUGUUCAAUCACCCACUUCCCACACGCAACAAUAGCUCAUGGGUACCACAGAUAACUUUGCCAAAGUUCUCUGCCAAAGUUGAGCACGUGAAGCUUGCAGCUCCCACUACAUCGCUCUGACCAAGAAGGGUAAAAGAAUAGCAAAGAAACAGCACUAACAAAGUUUAGACCCAUAAAUUUUGAAGGUCUAGCUACCAUAUUAUUACCCACAAGGGUAAAGGAACAGUACCACUGCUGGAUAAUUGGAAAGUCCCUGUGUGUCAACCUCUGUGCUUCGUGGCAAGGUAGACUAGCAAACAUGCCCAACCUUUACUCACAUUCGAGAAAACACUCCCAAUAAGAUUGCUUGCUCCAAAAUCGAAGAGGCACCGUCCUCCGAAUCUCGAGAGCCAGACUCCCAACAUGACUACUUUCUUAAAAAUCGAAGAGAGGGUAAAGGAACAGUACCAUUGCUGGAUAAUUGGAAAGUCCCUGUGUGUCAACCUCUGUGCUUCGUGGCAAGGUAGACUAGCAAACAUGCCCAACCUUUACUCACAUUCGAGAAAACACUCCCAACAAGAUUGCUUGCUCCAAAAUCGAAGAGGCACCGCCCUCCGAAUCUCGAGAGCCAGACUCUCCCAACAUGAUUACUUUCUCAAAAAUCGAAGAGACACUGCUCCCCGAAUCUCGAGAGCCAGACCCCCAGCAUGAUUGCUUUCUCAAAAAUCGAUGAGGCAUCGUUCUCCGAAUCAAUCGAAGAGGCGCUCGCUUUCUCAAAAGCUGGGCUGCUCAGAGACCACGAGGGCCGAUCUCAGAAAUCGAAGAGGCACCUACUUUUCUAGCCUGUCAGCACCUGUCACACGCACACUCAGCUUUGCAGAAAUUAUGGGCAUUCUGUCGAAGACUUCUGGUGAAGUAGAAAGCACAUGAAUCUUUACUGUUCAAUCACCCACUUCCCACACGCAACAAUAGCUCAUGGGUACCACAGAUAACUUUGCCAAAGUUCUCUGCCAAAGUUGAGCACGUGAAGCUUGCAGCUCCCACUACAUCGCUCUGACCAAGAAAGGUAAAAGAAUAGCAAAGAAACAGCACUAACAAAGUUUAGACACAUAAAUUUUGAAGGUCUAGCUACCAUAUUAUUACCCACAAGGGUAAAGGAACAGUACCACUGCUGGAUAAUUGGAAAGUCCCUGUGUGUCAACCUCUGUGCUUCGUGGCAAGGUAGACUAGCAAACAUGCCCAACCUUUACUCACAUUCGAGAAAACACUCCCAACAAAGAUUGCUUGCUCCAAAAUCGAAGAGGCACCGUCCUCCGAAUCUCGAGAGCCAGACUCCCAACAUGACUACUUUCUCAAAAUCGAAGAGAGGGUAAAGGAACAGUACCAUUGCUGGAUAAUUGGAAAGUCCCUGUGUGUCAACCUUUGUGCUUCGUGGCAAGGUAGACUAGCAAACAUGCCCAACCUUUACUCACAUUCGAGACAACACUCCCAACAAGAUUGCUUGCUCCAAAAUCGAAGAGGCACCGCCCUCCGAAUCUCGAGAGCCAGACUCCCAACAUGAUUACUUCCUCAAAAAUCGAAGAGACACUGCUCUCCGAAUCUCGAGAGUCAGACCCCCAACAUGAUUGCUUUCUCAAAAAUCGAAGAGGCAUCGUUCUCCCGAAUCUCGAGAGCCAGAUACCACAGACCACUUUUUCAAAGUGCUCUGACAGAGUUAAAACAUGUGAAACUGGCAGCUCCCACUACCGUGCUAUGACCAAGCAGGGUAAAGGAAUAGCAUUACUACUUGUUGUUAGGGAGACUCCUAUAUAUGUCGACCUCCAUCCCCAACGGACAGGCAGACCUGCAAAAAUGCUCAACCCUUCAUCAUAUCUGAGAGGGCACUCCCAACGAAAGCCUUUCGAAAUAUUCAGCUUUCUUUCCCCCCGAUAAUACCUCUGCAAACAAGCUAUACUAGAGCAAGAAUAUCUCAUAUCAUCAUCAGGGUUAAAAGCAAGAGUAUCCCAUAUCAUGCUUUUUCCCUGUUUUUUUCUUUUGGCCUUGUUUUUACCUGCAAGACAAGGAGAAAGAGAGCAAUCAGUCAGCACUUGGAAUCAAGCUUCCAGCCAGGAACUGACUGCCUGGAACCCCUUACCUGAUUACUUACCUGGCAUUGCUCUCGAGUACUCAUCUUCAACAUCUUAUGUUUCCAGGGAAGAUUCCGCAUCUGCUUGAGGAACAGAUAGGGCAAGUGCGAAGGAUACAAGGAAGCAUGUGGAGACAAGCGUAACAGCACACGUGCCGAUACAUCCAUUACUCUGUCAAAAGCAAAAGUAUCCCAUAUCAGCAGGGUGGAACGUACUCUAGAUUUGAUGGACUUGUUUUGACCCUCAAAUUCUUCAGUCGGCCUUAUACUCUGGAGGAAACCAGAAAACCCUCCAGCUCAGUUCAAGAAUAAGCCUGUGGAAAGUUACUUCUUCAAAAGCAAAAGUAUCUCAUAUCAUCUCUUCUCAUUUUUCUUCUCUUUAUCCUUCAUGCUGCUGCAAGAUGGGGAGAAGGUGAACAAUCAGUCGGAGCUCUGAUUGCUUACCUUGUCUGUCACCUCUUUCAGCAGACCCCCUAGCUCGGCGACUUGGGGGACUCCUACUACAUGGUUUGUAUCGCGCUUGACCAAGCCUGAAACUACAAGUAAGCUUCAAGUGAAAUUGAUACAUUACCUUGUGCAUCUCCACCAGUUAAAGAUACCACCCCUGGAUGGAGGAAGAGUACUUCCAGAGAAGAUGCCACAUCUACCUAUGAGACAGAUAAGGCAAGUCAAGACGACACCACACUCCGAUACUUAGAAGUUUCGUGAUUACGAGAUCAUUCUCCCACAAUAUUUUCCUAAUGUCAUUUGUACUAAAUCAUUCACUUGUACUCACUAAAGGAGAGCUUGAACCUAUGUACUUGUGUAAACCCUUCACAAUUAAUGAGAACUCUUCUAUUCCGUGGACGUAGCCAAUCUGGGUGAACCACGUACAUCUUGUGUUUGCUUUCCUAUCUCUAUCCAUUUAUAUACUUAUCCACACUAAUGACCGGAGCAAUCUAGCGAAGAUCACAAAAAGCGACCGUUUUCGUUACCUAUGAUCUAUCUUGUAAGAGAACGGAGAAUUAGAUGGAGAUCUCAACCAUAGAAUACGAGCUGGAUGGAAAAGAAGAGUGCAUCCGGCGUGUUGUGUGACCGUCGUAGGCCACUGAAGCUCAAGGGAAAAUUUUUAUAGGACGGCAAUAAGGCCAGCGAUGUUGUAUGGCAGAGAAUGUUGGGUGGUGAAGCAUCAACACGUACACAAAAUGGGUGUAGCGGAGAUGAGGAUGCUUCGUGGGAUGUGUGGGCACACGAGAAAGGAUAAGAUUGGGAAUGAGGAUAUCCGAGGUACAGUAGGAGUAGCCGAAAUUGUAGGAAAGAUGAGAGAAAAUCGGCUCUGGUGAUUUGGACAUGUGCAAAGAAGGCCGACUGACGCUCCGGUUCGAAGAUGUGACUACGGGACAGAGGUUCAGGGCCGAAGGGGUAGAGGAAGACCUAGGAAAACUUUGGAAGAGACUCUAAGAAAAGACUUAGAGUACUUGGAUCUAACGGAGGAUAUGACACAAAACCGAGCGCAAUGGCGUUCUAGGAUUCAUAUAGCCGACCCCACUUAGUGGGAAAAGGCUUUGUUGUUGUUGUUGUUGUUGUUCUCUACCUUUGAACUAUUGAUGCAUGUAUCAAGACUGUUCAGACAGCCGACCCCGCUUAGUAGGAUAAAACUUGGUGGUGGUUGUUUGUUUCCUUUUUUUUUUCCUUGAAUGAAUUGUUGCCUUGUGUCAGUGUAGAUCAAUGACACUAAAAGCAUAAUUGGGUUGUUACCCUAAAUUGUAAUUGUUGGUCUACUGCCUUCCGAAGCAAGCUCGGACUUAAUUAGAGUACUUGGAAAGUUUAGGCUGCCUAGUAAUAUUCUGUUGAGAUUAGUUUCUUCUUAUGGGUGUGGGUAACUAUGAUCCAGUUGACCUGUUUAGUGUUUACCUAAGGUCAAGCAUACGUGUGUAGUUGAUUUAUUGUGGUUCGAUCUGUGUCUUCUCUGGUUAACCCGUUUAUGUAUGUCCUGAAAUAUUACAAAUGUACCAUGAUAUGUGUGUCAUUGAUUAGUCAUAUGUUGAUCUUAGUUUCUAUUGCUAGGUUGUUGGUGGUUGCAAAUGCUGGAGAUUGUCGAGCAGUGCUGUGCCGCCGUGGAAAAGCAAUUGAAAUGUCAAGAGAUCACAAACCAAUUUGCAGCAAAGAGAAACAACGGAUCGAGGCAUCUGGAGGACAUGUGUAUGAUGGUUAC